rnacentral:rRNA from 1 species
AUGUUGGAUCCCAUCUCUCUCGUCUUCCUCGAUCCCCUUUCUCCACCCCAUGCCGCCGCCAGAUUCCGGCGAUCCCCGCGGAGAGCCACGCCCAGGCACUGGUGGUGGUGCGCCGCGAGGAGGCCCCAGCGGCGUCGAGCUGCUGUUGCUGCGGGCACAGCGACGUCGGCGUGGUCAGGAUGGUCGCAGCCCUUCAAGAUUCUCAAUGGCGGCGUCUCGGCGCUGAUGGCGGAGUCGACGGCGAGCAUCGGGGGGUACAUGGCGUCGGGGUACCGGAGGGUGGCUGGCGUGCAGCUCUACAUCAACCACCUCAAGCCCGCCCACCUCGGCGACCGCAUCAAGGCCAAGGCGAACCCCAUCCGGUACCUCGACCCCGACGCGUACUUGGACAAGGACCAGCUGCUGGACGCGGUGCAUUGGAUCCGGCAGGCGGUGGGGCUCGCCUGCGGCCUGCUCUGGGGCGCCGUCCCCCUCGUUGGCGCCUUCUGGAUCGCCCUGUCAGUCCCUUGGAAAUAUUGA